GACGAACCGUGCAAACGUUAUUCGGAAUCACUGGGCGUAAAGGGUGCGUAGGCGGGUCUUUAAGUCAGGGGUGAAAUCCUGGAGCUCAACUCCAGAACUGCCUUUGAUACUGAAGAUCUUGAGUUCGGGAGAGGUGAGUGGAACUGCGAGUGUAGAGGUGAAAUUCGUAGAUAUUCGCAAGAACACCAGUGGCGAAGGCGGUUCACUGGCCCGAUACUGUCGCUGAGGCACGAAAGCGUGGGGAGCAAACAGG
rnacentral:rRNA from 1 species